GCAAGUCGAGGGGUAAGGCUCAUUUCGGUGAGUACACGACCGGCGCACGGGUGCGUAACGCGUAUGCAACCUACCUUUAACAGGGGGAUAGCCCGAAGAAAUUCGGAUUAACACCCCAUAACACUGCGCUGUGGCAUCACAAUGCAGUUAAAACUCCGGUGGUAGAAGAUGGGCAUGCGUCCUAUUAGUUAGUUGGUAAGGUAACGGCUUACCAAGACAUCGAUAGGUAGGGGUCCUGAGAGGGAGAUC
rnacentral:rRNA from 1 species